AUGGUUGUUUAUCUCUCAGGUUGUAAAUUUAAUUUUGAAAUUGGCAUUUUCUAUGGCAAAUAUUAGUAACACAAAUGACCACAAACCAAAUCAUAAAAUAACUGAAAUUCUUACACUUUGAGAAGACUGGUAGCUCUCGGUUAUGAUACCAAGCAGAAUUUUUCUGCAUUUAUUUCUUAGAAAUAUUUCCAAAAUAUUUGUUUUUCAUUUCUUUGCUGGUAACUCAGAAUAAUGAAAAAUCAAACCUUCUGAAAAGCAAGGUAUUUGUUCUUAAAUUGUGUAUCUAUUCACUUUCUGUCUCUCAUAGCCAAUGUAAUUUUUUAAUUUGAUGAAAUGAAAGAAAGUAGGUUGGGAAAGUUAACAUUUGUUGAUCACUAACAAGAUACUAGGGGCAUAGGAGCAUAAUUAACCCAAUAAUACUUAAAUAUUUUAGUCAUGGGGGAAAUUAGGGCUGUUUCUGAGUCUUAUUAGGAAAACAUAUUUUUCUCUUUAAUAUGGAGCUGCCCACAUUUUGGAAUCUUCUCAUUUUGAUACACAUUUUUAUAGUUUCAAGAGAACUCCGUUCUACUAGUAUUUGUCUUAUUUUCUUGGAUUAAGUCUAGUAGUAAUUUUUGUUUUAGGAGUGGGCCAUGAAUAUUCCGCUAUUUUCCGUUUUGAAUACGGUGUGUCAUCCUUUGAAAGCCAUCUCAGUAGUUUGCUUUUUGUCUUUUGUUUGUUUUUAUUUUCUUUUUAAGUGCAGACCUCAAAUUGAUUGUUGCCUAUAAAUAGUAACUUUUAUAUGUUUGUAUAUAAGUGACAUAGCUUUGCCCAGUUAUCUUCAUUGUAUAAAAAUAACUGUAUUCCAUAAAAAUUAACAAAUAGAUUGCAAAUGCAAACUGUCUUUAUAGUUUGGUUGAUUUAUUAGUGAACAUGUAUUGAUUACCUACUCUAUCAGUUGCAAUGCUAGGUAUGUCUACAGAAAAAAUAUUUCAUUUCUAAACAAAUCAAGUCAAGCAAGUUGAAACCUUUCUAAAAUUAUGAAAACAUCCUCUGAUAACUUAUGUGUUAUAUUUCUUAGUCUCAAAGUCAAGAAACGUAUAUAUGUGGACAUAGUUAUGAACUCCUUAUGGCCCUACUGGGAAACUUAUAUAGUGCCUUUCAACUAGAGAAAGUAGUAAUGAUUAAUGGGCCUGUUUGUAGAAAAGAAAAGGAAAAAGUGUACACAUUUGCUGUAACGUUAUGUCUCAUUCACAGUGGAGAUGGUCAUUUAAGUCUUUGCCAAAACUGGGGUUUAAUGAAUAUUUUUUUAAGUCUAAUUAUAAAUUUCUGUUUGUAUUUUGUGAAAAGGUGUUCAGUAAGAAAACCUUAUUUGCAAUAUUAUGUAAAUACAAAAGUAUGUAUUAAAGUUUGCUUAUUCUCCUUUCCCAGCCAAGAGGUUGAUAUCCAUUUUAAAACAAAAUGGGAAAAUAUCCAAUACAAUAUUCUCUUUCUUUUGGAAGCUCUGUACAUGUGAAACCAGACUUUGUGUCAUUUAAUUUGGCCUUUGCUUAUCUCUGUUGUAUUUCGUUGUAUACUUUUCAGGCAAAUACUGGUACUCUAGAUUUAUUAUCUUUUAUUUGCAAAUAUGCCAAUGAGAGAACUAAAAUGGUCAUAGAGUUUAUCAGAAAAAGGAAGUGUACUUAAGAUUAUUUUAUUUAUUAAGAUCUGAAAGGCUUCUAUAUAAAUGCACUGAAAUAAAUGCUAGUAAUUUCUUGUACUCUCAUUUUUUUUCUUUUUUUUUUUUUUGCUUCUCAUGGAAAUGUUUGUACUUUUUUAUCAUUGUCUUUUAUGAAAUAUAAUGUUCU
ensembl:lncRNA